GGUUAAGCGACUAAGCGUACACGGUGGAUGCCCUGGCAGUCAGAGGCGAUGAAGGACGUGCUAAUCUGCGAAAAGCGUCGGUAAGGUGAUAUGAACCGUUAUAGCCGGCGAUGUCCGAAUGGGGAAACCCAGUGCAAUUCGUUGCACUAUCGUUAACUGAAUACAUAGGUUAACGAGGCGAACCGGGGGAACUGAAACAUCUAAGUACCCCGAGGAAAAGAAAUCAACCGAGAUUCCCCAGUAGCGGCGAGCGAACGGGGAGCAGCCCGGAGUCUGAAUCAGCUUGUGUGUUAGUGGAAGCGUCUGGAAAGUCGCAGGGUACAGGGUGAUACUCCCGUACACUAAAACACACAGGUUGUGAACUCGAAGAGUAGGGCGGGACACGUGGUAUCCUGUCUGAAUAUGGGGGGACCAUCCUCCAAGGCUAAAUACUCCUGACUGACCGAUAGUGAACCAGUACCGUGAGGGAAAGGCGAAAAGAACCCCGGCGAGGGGAGUGAAAAAGAACCUGAAACCGUGUACGUACAAGCAGUAGGAGCCCACUUGUUGGGUGACUGCGUACCUUUUGUAUAAUGGGUCAGCGACUUAUAUUCUGUAGCAAGGUUAACCGUAUAGGGGAGCCGCAGGGAAACCGAGUCUUAACUGGGCGUUAAGUUGCAGGGUAUAGACCCGAAACCGGUGAUCUAGCCAUGGGCAGGUUGAAGGUUGGGUAACACUAACUGGAGGACCGAACCGACUAAUGUUGAAAAAUUAGCGGAUGACUUGUGGCUGGGGGUGAAAGGCCAAUCAAACCGGGAGAUAGCUGGUUCUCCCGAAAGCUAUUUAGGUAGCGCCUCGUGAACUCAUCUUCGGGGUAGAGCACUGUUUCGGCUAGGGGGUCAUCCCGACUUACCAACCCGAUGCAAACUACGAAUACCGAAGAAUGUUAUCACGGGAGACACACGGCGGGUGCUAACGUCCGUCGUGAAGAGGGAAACAACCCAGACCGCCAGCUAAGGUCCCAAAGUCAUGGUUAAGUGGGAAACGAUGUGGGAAGGCCAGACAGCCAGGAUGUUGGCUUAGAAGCAGCCAUCAUUUAAAGAAAGCGUAAUAGCUCACUGGUCGAGUCGGCCUGCGCGGAAGAUGUAACGGGGCUAAACCAUGCACCGAAGCUGCGGCAGCGACACUAUGUGUUGUUGGGUAGGGGAGCGUUCUGUAAGCCGUUGAAGGUGGCCUGUGAGGGUUGCUGGAGGUAUCAGAAGUGCGAAUGCUGACAUAAGUAACGAUAAUGCGGGUGAAAAACCGCACGCCGGAAGACCAAGGGUUCCUGUCCAACGUUAAUCGGGGCAGGGUGAGUCGACCCCUAAGGCGAGGCCGAAAGGCGUAGUCGAUGGGAAACAGGUUAAUAUUCCUGUACUCGGUGUUACUGCGAAGGGGGACGGAGAAGGCUAUGUUGGCCGGGCGACGGUUGUCCCGGUUUAAGCAUGUAGGCGGAUGUUCCAGGUAAAUCCGGAACGUUAUUAACGCUGAGGUGUGAUGACGAGGCACUACGGUGCUGAAGUGACAAAUGCCCUGCUUCCAGGAAAAGCCUCUAAGCAUCAGGUAACAUCAAAUCGUACCCAAACCGACACAGGUGGUCAGGUAGAGAAUACCAAGGCGCUUGAGAGAACUCGGGUGAAGGAACUAGGCAAAAUGGUGCCGUAACUUCGGGAGAAGGCACGCUGAUGGUAGGUGAAGCGACUUGCUCGUGGAGCUGAAAUCAGUCGAAGAUACCAGCUGGCUGCAACUGUUUAUUAAAAACACAGCACUGUGCAAACACGAAAGUGGACGUAUACGGUGUGACGCCUGCCCGGUGCCGGAAGGUUAAUUGAUGGGGUUAUCCGUAAGGAGAAGCUCUUGAUCGAAGCCCCGGUAAACGGCGGCCGUAACUAUAACGGUCCUAAGGUAGCGAAAUUCCUUGUCGGGUAAGUUCCGACCUGCACGAAUGGCGUAAUGAUGGCCAGGCUGUCUCCACCCGAGACUCAGUGAAAUUGAACUCGCUGUGAAGAUGCAGUGUACCCGCGGCAAGACGGAAAGACCCCGUGAACCUUUACUAUAGCUUGACACUGAACACUGGUCCUUGAUGUGUAGGAUAGGUGGGAGGCUUUGAAGUGUGGACGCCAGUCUGCAUGGAGCCAUCCUUGAAAUACCACCCUUUAAUGGCUGGUGUUCUAACGUGGGCCCGUAAUCCGGGUUGCGGACAGUGUCUGGUGGGUAGUUUGACUGGGGCGGUCUCCUCCUAAAGAGUAACGGAGGAGCACGAAGGUCAGCUAAUCCUGGUCGGACAUCAGGAGGUUAGUGCAAUGGCAUAAGCUGGCUUGACUGCGAGCGUGACGGCGCGAGCAGGUGCGAAAGCAGGUCAUAGUGAUCCGGUGGUUCUGAAUGGAAGGGCCAUCGCUCAACGGAUAAAAGGUACUCCGGGGAUAACAGGCUGAUACCGCCCAAGAGUUCAUAUCGACGGCGGUGUUUGGCACCUCGAUGUCGGCUCAUCACAUCCUGGGGCUGAAGUAGGUCCAAGGGUAUGGCUGUUCGCCAUUUAAAGUGGUACGCGAGCUGGGUUUAGAACGUCGUGAGACAGUUCGGUCCCUAUCUGCCGUGGGCGCUGGAGAAUUGAGGGGGGCUGCUCCUAGUACGAGAGGACGGAGUGGACGCAUCACUGGUGUUCGGGUUGUCAUGCCAAUGGCAUUGCCCGGUAGCUAAAUGCGGAAGAGAUAAGUGCUGAAAGCAUCUAAGCACGAAACUUGCCCCGAGAUGAGUUCUCCCUGACCCUUUAAGGGUCCUGAAGGAACGUUGAAGACGACGACGUUGAUAGGCCGGGUGUGUAAGCGCAGCGAUGCGUUGAGCUAACCGGUACUAAUGAACCGUGAGGCUUAACCUU
rnacentral:rRNA from 1 species